GUGGAAUGAUGCAUUUUAGCCAAAUCAGACAUUGAUGUGCUCCACUAGGCAGUGUUUUCUAAGCUUUUACAAGCUUUUUGUGUAGAGACACUAUGGUGAUCUCUUCUAUGAACUUUUUCAAGCUUUAGAUGUUGCCUUUUGUAGAAGUGCAUCUCUCUGAUGAAUAUAUAGAGAUUGGUUCCUUGCUGACCAUC